CAAACACGUGACUCGCUUUUUACAUCACCACGUCUGUGAACCGUAGAGACGCUGUGAACGCUGCUUUGUUUGGAAGCUAAAAAUCACACAAUUCUAGGUUAAAGUCCGUGCUGUUGGAUGAUAACCUGGUGUUGUGUGAUUUUUAACUUUGUCCAUCCCAGUCCAACACCGGCACCUCCACAUCAUUGUUAUUGAGCAGCAAUGCGUGACCAGCAGACCGGCUCCAGGGCACUGAAUGCUAAUGUUGGCGGCGUUUCUGGAUCGUGGGCGAGUCCUCUCGAGAGACGUACUGACUGGCAACCCAGGAGCGGACUAGGCCCAGACGUUUGCUCGUUAUCUCCGUUUCCGCUUGGAUUUCCACCGGAUGCUCCUGUUUCCUCCCACAGUCCAAACAUGCCUAUUCCCAUUUCUACCUAUUGAACUGACACAGUGGCUGUGACUUGACUGCUGUGUGAUCGUGACUGCUUCUCCAAGAACAUUGAUGUCCUUUUUUAUUCACAGCGCAGCUUGCCCGUUUUAAUUCCCCAGUCCUGGUUUGGAAUAGGGAGAGUGGAUUUCCAGAAUGUUGCUGAUCCUUUUCAUCUCCUUGUUUUUCCUGGGUCUCUGCUGACAGUGUUUCACUGACUGUGCUAUACAUGGCAUUGAUGACUUUCCUGACGUGACUAAAAUUGCAAUGGUGAAAGGAAUUCAACUUAAUUACAUGAUACAAAAAUCCGUUAAAUGAUUCUCAGGAGGAAGUUCAUGGCAGACGCUUUUGGUGCCGAAUGUUGUCACCAAUAUUGCAAAUUCACAUUCAAAUAUAUCAAAGGAGAAUCUCCACACAAUAAUGAAGGGGAUGAACCAAACAUCUGAUUCACCAAUGGUGACCUAAACAGCAGCUUGCAGUAAGUGACUGAAGCUUCUGAUGUCACCAUUCUACCUUCUUCAUGACUCAAAGCAUCAAAUUCAUCAGAAACUACCCUCGCCCUGAUGAAACCUGUGACUACUGAGUGCAGAGAAGGCCCUUUUAGACACGUCUGGCUCAGUGGCCAUUCAAGUCCCCCACUCAGAGCACCUUCCACAUUCUGAUCAUCCACAUUGUAUCCAUAAAGUGGUGUUCAACAUGGAGGAGGACUGAUUCAUCAGGCUUGAGGAGGAGCAGUACGUUAGCACGGUCAGCAGUGAUGAGUGAGCUCAGCAUGGACUCGAGUGGGCCCAGCUCAUUGCAGCAAUGUCGGAAGCAAGUUUGCGUUCCCAGCAGCUUCUGUACUGGCGAGACGUUCCUAGUGCCAACUCAGGACUACAGCUGCAGAGGCGAGGUUUUAGUACAACACGAGACUCGGUGGCAUUGGCAGCAGCUGCAUUGCGAGGUGGGCACAAUGCAGCCUCAUGGCAGUAGCGGAGUUGAGUUUGGGCUGGUAUGGUACCUGCCAGCAUCAGUGGCAUCUGCAUUGGCGAGGUCCUGCGAGGAUUCAGAGUGGCAAGGAUGUCAAUGGAGGCACAACACAAGCAGGAAUGAUGAUGGAAUAUUAAUUCCAAAGAAGAAUCAUGGGACUGAAAUCACCACCACCUGCAAGUUCCCCUCCAAGCAACUCACCAUCCUGACUUGGAAAUGUUCCUUCAAUGU